GGAGCCCACCUGCCUAUGCCUUGCUCCUGGGGUCCUGCAGUCCAGGCUGAGGAGGAGGACGGGGACAGGUUCCUGCUGCUUGAAGAGGCCCUGGGCAUGUCGGUCUCGGGCACGGUUACCCCACACCAGCCCUCGCCACCCCAUCUGCCCCAGGAAGAGGGUCAGCGAGGUGUAUGGGUUGGCAGGACUCUUGAGAUCAGAGGCACAGCUGGGUGUGGCCUUGUCAGGGACACUAGGACUCCAGGGCUGAAGCAAAGGCACACCAAAGAUUUCUACCAUCUCUGCAGCACCGACACGGCCAGCUGCCAGUUCUGCUCCACCAGCUUCCAGGGUUUUGAUUAAUAGGAUGAACACGAAAUUUACCAGCCACAAGAACUCACAGUCACAAGGCCACGACAGUGACUGGGCCACAUGCCCAAGCGGUGACUUCCUGGCAACUGCAGACAGCUUGGAGCAGCCUGCGGGCGAGACACAAUCGUUUGCUGGCUUGUAACCAAUGAUUCAUGCGUUUGGAUCAACAGUGCUCAAAAACCUCUCCAGCUGAUGUUCAGAUCAGGGCAGGACCUUGCUUGUGUACGUGGGUUAUAUCUAUCAUGGGACAGGGCCAAAAAUCAGAGAAAACAUUUAAGUAUUUAUUUAUUAAUUCACUAAAAACAAAGUCAUUACAUUUUAGCCCUGAUACCAUAUUUUGGAUGAAA
rnacentral:lncRNA from 1 species